GUUCCCAUCGAUUAGUGGUCAGAUCAUCACGUUGUGGCUACACCAAAAACCGUGGAGACGGGGGCUCGACUCCCCCUGGGAACA